UACGUAGGGUGCGAGCGUUGUCCGGAAUUAUUGGGCGUAAAGAGCUUGUAGGCGGUUUGUCGCGUCUGCUGUGAAAAUCCGGGGCUCAACCCCGGACUUGCAGUGGGUACGGGCAGACUAGAGUGUGGUAGGGGAGACUGGAAUUCCUGGUGUAGCGGUGAAAUGCGCAGAUAUCAGGAGGAAUACCGAUGGCGAAGGCAGGUCUCUGGGCCAAUACUGACGCUCAUGCACGAAAGCGUGGGGAGCAAACAGG
rnacentral:rRNA from 1 species